GGGGUAAACAGCUGCUGGCUUGAUGACGCAAGCGAACCGCGGUUCGGCCUCAAAUAUUAUAAUAUGAACACAGUCCAGCGUGGGCAGGGGGAGGGGGGAGCUUUCGAACUCGGGUUUGGACCAAGCAAGUGAACCAAGUGUGAAAGCACCCUUAGUUGCCCUGAUUAGUUUAUUCUGUUCACCUGUGUUCAUUAAUCAUCUCAUUAGUUCCCUCAUUUAGCUUCUAUAAGUUCUCCCUGUUCUGUUCAGUCCUUUGCCGGUUAUUGAUAAAUGUUUGAUCUUGGUUGUGUUGAGUUCCCUGAGUUUCUCCAGUGUUUCUUCUGUGGAUUUAUUAAAGGACUGUUAUUUGGAAUUCUCUGUCAUCUCGUGCUCCUUACAGCGCCAACACGUGAUGGUAAAAUCUUUUGUAGAUUUUCAGUACUUGCCCUCAAAUACAAACAGUAAUAAAGGCUUCCCUCGGACCAGGAGAGUUGCAGACCUGCAGACCGACUGACUGACCUGUGCAGGGAAUUGUGGUGGUGGCGGCGGAGUCAAAAGAGACUUGUUUCUCCAGACAUGAAAGGCUCCUAAGAUCAAGCACCAUGAAAAUGGAAAGCACUCUGUCUUGUAGAUUCAGGUCUGACAGGAAGCAGGUGUCUCAAUUUGAACAGCAUCAAGGACUGUGCUUAAGGAGACAUGAUGAAUAAAUCCAUAUGUGCUUGGAAUGAAAUGGACAGUUAGACACAAGAUUCAUUUUGAGGCAGACCACUUAUCCUUAUAGUGUUAGUUAUUGUUUUUCAAUUAUUAUUGUUAGUGAGUAGUCAUUUAACAGAUGCUUUUCUCUGAAGUGACUUGUAGUACACUUGCAUUUAUGUGUACACAAACCCAUGACCUCACCAUGUUUCUAGUACCUUCAGAGGUUUAUCUGGUUCAAACAGCAUUCAGAUGGUCCAGAAUGCCACAACGUGUUUGGUGGUUUGAUUCUAAUUCAUAUGUGUUUGCUCCAGUCUCCUGUCAGCUUGUCCCUGAACUGACAUUCACUGCAGUGACCGUCCUUUGUUGGUUUUAUUACAUUAGUGGCAAAUA